CCCAGAUGGAAAACAGCCGCACUUAAGUGUUCUCUACUGAAGCUGGAUCUUGAGGAAACUGUUAAUAGGUUGUUCACAUUCUUCUCUUCACAGUCAGGUAAUGAAGCUACUGUUGCUUGUCCAGGCCACACUUUCAGAAGUGUUGUUCUAGCCUUCCUGUCUGGAAAUGCAGGAACAAAGAGUGGAGCAG